UCCGCUCUAUACAGUGGUGUGGCCGGGAAGUACAGAGAAUGUACGUGUGGUGCAGUGAACACGACCCGAAUUCGGUUAAUUUUGGAUAAAUAUUGGAGGCAAAUCACAAAUGUUGAAUGCAGCUAAACCCGACUAUAACUUUGCCCGCGAAGCAGUCGAGGCCCGAGAGGAAUCGGGUGAACAGUCUCUCAAGUUUCACGGCAUUGACUGCAUCGAUAUCGGGUGCACGAGGGACCUGAUAUGCUGUCAAAUUUCUGCUUAUUGCACCACACGAUGAUUGUUAAUAAAGGGGAGUCUAGCCAACUGCUGUGCCUAGUCUACAUGUCCAGCUGUGUCGACGUUUACCUCAGCAGUGGAAAGCCGCCGCGAAAACUACCCGCUUAGAACCAGAGCUUGUUCAGUGAAACUUGCUGGAUUAUCGGAAACAGCCACAACGCAUCACCGACCCACUCAGAAAACAUUCCAAGUUAUCAUGGUGUGUCAUGCGUGCAGUUGCUUUUAGUAUGGUGAUUUUGUAUACUAUUUUCCCUUGAAAUUAACUUUUCAACUAUUAUCAAUUUCCGUUCUGAGAUGAUGAGUUUCAUGCAUUGAAUACUGAAGUACUCAUUUUAGAAAUUUCAAACAAGUUUAGAGUUCCACUUCACGUAUUUGACUACUGAUUACUAAGUUAGAUUCUCAAGUAUUGUGGUGCUUAUCAUUUACAAUUUAUACGAGAUGAUGUUAUCCUUUAGCUGACGCCGUUGUAAAAACCGGGAAUAAGCUUGUAUGUAUAUUUUGAAAAUAAUGAAGGGGCUACAUUAUCGUACGUAAUCGUGUAUUGUUCUAAAAUAUAGUUAUACCAGUUUUGGAAUAGAUUUCUUAAUUUAUGUUUGUCGAUGCUUAAACUCCAUGUGUAAUGCUUUACGUUUUACUCCAAAAAUGUUUUGUAGUUUGAAUGUUUACAUGCACUUGAGGUUCUAAUAAAC